rnacentral:lncRNA from 1 species
UCACUACCUAAAUUAGUAAGAGAAACCCAUUUUCACCCCAAAUUAGAGAUAAAUUCAUUACUUCUCACCCUAAAACGAAAUUAGAGAAAAAGAACCUUCAAUUUCUUUCUCAUCAUCCACCAAAGUCGUUGUUGCCAUAGCCCUCCACCGUUGAUGCCACCACUUAAAAUCAGAAUGGAUUGAUGGGCAAACCUCUUAAAAUCAUAUAAUUCAAGAUAGAUAGAUGUAUUAGAACCACAACACCAACAUGGAAGAAGAAAAAAUAACACCCCUAAAAAGAAAACCAAUCUUCUUCUCCAUCCAUCUUCACGAUGACAUGUAUUUUGAAGCAAAAUCAAUGAUUAAGCCUAGACCCAUUACAAUGAAAUAAGUUUUAUCUUUCAAAACCUUAUUUGCUAACCUAAUUUUUAGAAAUCGAAUUCACCUCUCAAUCGACAAUAACUCAAUCAGAUCCCCAAUUUGUAGAACCUAUAUCAAAACCUAUCAUACAAAAGAAAUUAUAAAUUAACAUCACAACAUACAAAAAGAAGAAACUCAAUCAGCU